UACGGAGGAUGCAAGCGUUAUCCGGAAUGAUUGGGCGUAAAGCGUCCGCAGGUGGCAGUUCAAGUCUGCUGUCAAAGACCGGGGCUUAACUUCGGAAAGGCAGUGGAAACUGAACAGCUAGAGUAUGGUAGGGGCAGAGGGAAUUCCUGGUGUAGCGGUGAAAUGCGUAGAGAUCAGGAAGAACACCGGUGGCGAAGGCGGAUCUCUGGGCCUUGCCUGACGCUGAGGCGCGAAAGCUAGGGGAGCGAACAGG
rnacentral:rRNA from 1 species